CGUACACACACGCUACAAUGGUCGUGUACAAUUGGUUGCCAAGCCGCGAGGCGGAGCCAAUCCGUAAAGCAGGCCUCAGUUCAGAUUGCAGUCUGCAACUCGACUGCAUGAAGCCGGAGUUGCUAGUAACCGCAGGUCAGCAAUACUGCGGUGAAUACGUUCCCGGGUCUU
rnacentral:rRNA from 1 species